CACGUAGGGCGCAAGCGUUGUCCGGAAUUAUUGGGCGUAAAGCGCGCGCAGGCGGUCCUUUAAGUCUGAUGUGAAAGCCCACGGCUCAACCGUGGAGGGUCAUUGGAAACUGGGGGACUUGAGUACAGAAGAGAAGAGUGGAAUUCCACGUGUAGCGGUGAAAUGCGUAGAGAUGUGGAGGAACACCAGUGGCGAAGGCGACUCUGUGGUCUGUAACUGACGCUGAGGCGCGAAAGCGUGGGGAGCAAACAGG
rnacentral:rRNA from 1 species